rnacentral:snRNA from 1 species
AGCUUUGUAUAGUGGCAGUAUCAUAGUUAAUGAGGUUUAUCUGAGGCGUAAUUAUUGCUAAUUAAAAUUUCUAUGAACCAAAUUGGCC